rnacentral:misc_RNA from 1 species
ACACCUCAACUCUCACGGUUCACCCGUGAUGAGCUUGGACUUCUGGAGGUUUUGCUGGCCUGUGGACCGGCUCCUCUCAAAUGAAUCAGCUUACCAGUGUUUGGUGGCGCCAUGGGUGUGAUAACUAUCUACGCUUGCGGCUGUUCGCCAUGUAACCUUCAGCGAUGGGGGUUCGCUGGGGCUUACAAAUGUCUCUCCUCAGCGGAGACAGCUUUUUGAAC